rnacentral:tRNA from 1 species
GGGCUUGUAGCUCAGUUGGUUAGAGCGCGCGCUUGAUAAGCGUGAGGUCGGAGGUUCAAGUCCUCCCGGGCCCACCA